CGUAGGUGAACCUGCGGAGGGAUCAUUACACAAAUAUGAAGGCGGGCUGGAAUCUCUCGGGGUUACAGCCUUGCUGAAUUAUUCACCCUUGUCUUUUGCGUACUUCUUGUUUCCUUGGUGGGUUCGCCCACCACUAGGACAAACAUAAACCUUUUGUAAUUGCAAUCAGCGUCAGUAACAAAUUAAUAAUUACAACUUUCAACAACGGAUCUCUUGGUUCUGGCAUCGAUGAAGAACGCAGCGAAAUGCGAUAAGUAGUGUGAAUUGCAGAAUUCAGUGAAUCAUCGAAUCUUUGAACGCACAUUGCGCCCUUUGGUAUUCCAAAGGGCAUGCCUGUUCGAGCGUCAUUUGUACCCUCAAGCUUUGCUUGGUGUUGGGCGUCUUGUCUCUAGCUUUGCUGGAGACUCGCCUUAAAGUAAUUGGCAGCCGGCCUACUGGUUUCGGAGCGCAGCACAAGUCGCACUCUCUAUCAGCAAAGGUCUAGCAUCCAUUAAGCCUUUUUUCAACUUUUGACCUCGGAUCAGGUAGGGAUACCCGCUGAACUUAAGCAUAUCAAUAAGCGGAGGAA
rnacentral:rRNA from 2 species